CGCACGGGUGAGUAACACGUAUCCAACCUGCCGUCUACUCUUGGACAGCCUUCUGAAAGGAAGAUUAAUACAAGAUGGCAUCAUGAGUCCGCAUGUUCACAUGAUUAAAGGUAUUCCGGUAGACGAUGGGGAUGCGUUCCAUUAGAUAGUAGGCGGGGUAACGGGCCCACCUAGUCUUCGAUGGAUAGGGGUUCUGAGAGGAAGGUCCCCCCACCAUUGGAACUGAGACACGGUCCAAACUCCUACGGGAGGCAGCAUG
rnacentral:rRNA from 1 species